rnacentral:snoRNA from 1 species
GUAUAACAAUGCUGUUGAGGCCCACCCUCCUGGACCCCUUAUAGUACCCCAUGCUAGAGAAAACCAUAGCCCCGAAUCUCUGCCUGGCCCUGUCCAUAGGCCACGGCACUGAAGUGGAGUGCGCAGUG